GGGCGGGCCCUGGCUGCUGCCGCUGGUGGGCGAAGCUAAGGCGGCGCAGACGCGGGGCGGGCGUGGCGGGCGGCAGCGAGCAGAGCAGGCGGGUGGCGGGCGAGGAGAAGCUGAAGGAGUAUCAGCAGAAAAAUAGCCCUGGAGCAGCUGCAGGAACUAAGAAAAAACGCAAAACUAAAGAUGACUGUCGGCCCGAGACACCCACGGGCGAUGACCAGCAGCCUCCAGAGAAUGCAUACUUUGACAGUGAUGUUGCCACUCGUAGCGCUGAACAGCUUGCUCCCAAUGUCCCUGUGCUAUCGAACAGCGACAGUCUACCUAAUUGUCGUUCUGCUCUGUCUGCUCCUGGGAGCGUGCAGCUGACACAGAUUCAUGAAGCUGAGGAUCAUAAAAAUGCUUUGGAUGAGAACAGGUCUUUAUCAUCAACAGAAAGUCUCCGCCAGUUGUCUGAACAACUCAAUGGCCUGGUUUCUCAGGUACGGCCUCGUUUUGAUCCAUUUGUCCUAUUAAUUCUCUUGAUAUUUGAUGUGGAGCUUUAAGCAGUCAGCUCAAGAAAACACUCUUCAAUCUCAGAGGUGUCUGCAGUCA